AGAAUCAACGCUGGCGGCGUGCCUAAUACAUGCAAGUCGAACGCGAAAGUGGAGCAAUCCAUGAGUAGAGUGGCAAACGGGUGAGUAACACGUGGGUGACCUGCCUUCGAGUGGGGGAUAACGUCUCGAAAGGGACGCUAAUACCGCAUGACAUCCUGCCUUUUAACAGGUGGAGAUCAAAGCCGGGGAUCGCAAGACCUGGCGCUUGGAGAGGGGGCCCGCGUCCGAUUAGCUAGUUGGUGAGGUAAUGGCUCACCAAGGCAACGAUCGGUA
rnacentral:rRNA from 1 species